AGCUUGUAAGGUGUAUAAAUGAAUGUGCUGGCUGUGUCAGUGUGUUUAAAAGAGGUUGCAGUGCUAACGACCACUCAUAUCUGCUUAAUCAAAGACUCACAAUGACAAGUCUCAGUUUGAUUGUGUCUCUAUUUGUUGUAACUCUGAUGGUGUCCACAACCUCAGGUCAAGGUAAGAGCAGUAUUAGAUUACUAUUUGUCUACCUUUUCUCUAUGUUUGUUGUACUUCAAAAAUACAUGUAUAAUUUUGGAAUUGUGAAAAUAUGUUGAUGUUAACAAGAGACUCUUACUUGUUAAUUCAAAGGUGGGAUAGGCAGUUGCUGCAGAAUACUCACAUCCACUCAAGUCCACCGAGAUCGGCUGAAAAGUUACUAUAUACAGUAUAAGUCCUCAUGCCCUCUUCAUGCAGUGGUGUAAGUAUACCUUUCAGAAUUAACCUAAACACUUUUUUAAAAUCCAUCUUUAAAUGUUGUAACAUGUUCCUGAAUGUUUUCAUGUUCUUAUUUUUAACAGAUUUACUACAGUUUAUGGUAAAAGAAUCUGCUCCAGCCCCAGCCGAGUGUGGACAAAGACCAGCAUGGCCUAUCUGGAUGGAAAGAACUGGCAACUCCAACAAUUGGUCAUGAAGUGAUACCAUCACUGACACAAUAUCCAGCCUCCAGCCAGUACUAAAAAAAGGACUGCACUAUUAAAUUAAGACUAAAAGGUCUCCUUUGACGAAAAGAUUGUCUACUGUUUUAUAAUGUCCACAGAGUCUGAAUGUUUCCAUGUUUUUAACAAAUUUCUUACCUUAAGCUAGUUAAGUUAUACUUCUAAGAAGGAUUUUUACUAAUCAUUAUAUAUCUAAUGAUGUUUCUUUAUAUGUAAACAUUUGAAAAUGAUGUUUCUUCUUUAUUGUACUAUGACCCCAAGUGAUGUGAAAAAUAAAAAUGGCCACAUGUA